rnacentral:rRNA from 1 species
AUGGUGGCAACUAGAGUGAUCAACACGAGGACCGUGCAGGAGGCAUUGGCGGACAACAGGUGGGAGCAAGACAUACAAGGUGAUAUGUCCUUCAUGGCGCAGCUACAACUUAUGCAUCUCAGGCAUGCGGUAGCCACACUCCGGAGAGAUCCCGUGGAGGAGGACAAGUUCACUUGGCCUUGCGCUGGUGAGGAGGGCACUUAUUCAGCUAACGCCACCUACGGCAGGCUCUGUCAAGGUCUGAUCAGAGCUCCGGCAGCCACCGCCAUUUGGAGAAGUUAUGCGCCGUUAAAGCUUAAGAUUUUUGCUUGGCUGGCAUCGCAACAUAGGAUUUGGACUUCGGAUCGGAGAGCUCGACAUGGUUUGCAAGAGCUCCCCUCGCCUUGUUUUACCUGUCUGCAAGAGGAAGACAAUGUGGAGCACCUCCUUGCUUGCUGUGUGUAUGCCCAAGAAGUCUGGUUCACCUGCAUGAACAGGCUGCAGUUGCCAACCACGGCUCCAUCGACGGAGGACACGAUUGUGGAUUGGUGGCUACUGAAGCGCAGAAGCUUUCAUGGCAAGGAGAAGCGAGGUUUCGAUAGUCUGGUCAUAUGCAUGGCGUGGGCGUUGUGGAAGCAACGAAACGCCAGAGUCUUCAACAGAAGAGAGCAGCAAAUGGCGGCUAAAGAUCUAGCUGGCGUUAUCUUAGAGGAGAUUAGAGAGUGGAACUUAGCGGUUAGCAGAGUAGGAGGAUUGCAACGUUUUGUGAGACAUUAG